rnacentral:rRNA from 1 species
CAGUAGCCACGGUAAUACGUAGGUGGCAAGCGUUGUCCGGAAUUAUUGGGCGUAAAGGGCUCGCAGGCGGUUUCCUAAGUCUGAUGUGAAAGCCCCCGGCUCAACCGGGGAGGGUCAUUGGAAACUGGGAAACUUGAGUGCAGAAGAGGAGAGUGGAAUUCCACGUGUAGCGGUGAAAUGCGUAGAGAUGUGGAGGAACACCAGUGGCGAAGGCGACUCUCUGGUCUGUAACUGACGCUGAGGAGCGAAAGCGUGGGGAGCGAACAGGGUUAGAGACCCCCGUAGUCCCUGUCUCUUAUAC